rnacentral:rRNA from 1 species
ACGGAAGGCAGCAGUGGGGAAUAUUGGGCAAUGGGCGCAAGCCUGACCCAGCAACGCCGCGUGAAGGAUGAAGGUCUUCGGAUUGUAAACUUCUUUAAUUGGGAAGAAAAAAAUGACCUACCCAAAGAAUAAGCCACGGCUAACUACGUGCCAGCAGCCGCGGUAAUACGUAGGUGGCAAGCGUUAUCCGGAUUUACUGGGUGUAAAGGGCGUGUAGGCGGCUUUGCAAGUCAGAAGUGAAAUUCCCGAGCUCAACUUGGGCGCUGCUUCUGAAACUGCAAAACUUGAGUACUGGAGGGGAAAGCGGAAUUCCUAGUGUAGCGGUAAAAUGCGCAGAUAUUAGGAGGAACACCGGUGGCGAAGGCGGCUUUCUGGACAGUAACUGACGCUGAGGCGCGAAAGCGUGGGGAGCAAACAGGAUUAGAUACCCUGGUA